rnacentral:rRNA from 1 species
AACGAACGCUGGCGGCAUGCCUAACACAUGCAAGUCGAACGAGACCUUCGGGUCUAGUGGCGCACGGGUGCGUAACGCGGGGGAACCUGCCCUUAGGUUCGGAAUAACUCCCCGAAAGGGGUGCUAAUACCGGAUAAUGUCUUCGGACCAAAGAUUUAUCGCCUUUGGAUGGGCCCGCGUUGGAUUAGCUAGUUGGUAGGGUAAAAGCCUACCAAGGCGACGAUCCAUAGCUGGUCUGAGAGGAUGAUCAGCCACACUGGGACUGAGACACGGCCCAGACUCCUACGGGAGGCAGCAGUGGGGAAUAUUGGACAGUGGGCGAAAGCCUGAUCCAGCAAUGCCGCGUGAGUGAUGAAGGCCUUAGGGUUGUAAAGCUCUUUUACCCGGGAUGAUAAUGACAUUACCGGGAGAAUAAGCUCCGGCUAACUCCGUG